AGAAAAGCAAAAAGUCAAGUAACUUAAAACCAUUUUGCUUUUUUUCCCUUUGGGAUAAAAAUUCUGUUACAUCAAAUGGUUUUAAGUUACUUGACUUUUUGCUUUUC